UACGUAGGGCGCAAGCGUUAUCCGGAAUUACUGGGCGUAAAGGGCUCGUAGGUGGCCAACUAAGUCAGACGUGAAAUCCCUCAGCUUAACUGGGGAAUUGCGUUGGAGACUGCAAGGCUAGAAUCUGGCAGAGGGGGGUAGAAUUCCACGUGUAGCAGUGAAAUGCGUAGAGAUGUGGAGGAACACCGAUGGCGAAGGCAGCCCCCCUGGGUCAAGGAUUGACGCUCAUGCACGAAAGCGUGGGGAGCAAACAGG
rnacentral:rRNA from 1 species